AGUGAACGCUGGCGGUAGGCCUAACACAUGCAAGUCGAACGGCAGCACAAGAGAGCUUGCUCUCUGGGUGGCGAGUGGCGGACGGGUGAGGAAUACAUCGGAAUCUACCUUUUCGUGGGGGAUAAUGUAGGGAAACUUCCGACAAUCCCGCAUACGACCUUCGGGUGAAAGCAGGGGACCUUCGGGCUUUGCGCGGAUAGAUGAGCCGAUGUCGGAUUAGCUAGUUGGCGGGGUAAAGGCCCACCAAGGCGACGAUCCGUACCUGGUCUGAGAUGAUGAUCAGCCACACUAGAACUGAGACACAGUCCAGACUCCUACGGGAGGCAGCAGUGGGGAAUAUUGUAAAAUGGGCGCAAGCCUGAUCCAGCCAUACCGCGUGGGUGAAGAAGGCCUUCGGGUUGUAAAGCCCUUUUGUUGGGAAAGAAAAGCAGCCAGUUAAUACCUGGUUGUUCUGACGGUACCCAAAGAAUAAGCACCGGCUAACUUCGUGCCAGCCGCCGCCGUAA
rnacentral:rRNA from 1 species